rnacentral:lncRNA from 1 species
CCCAGAAUCCGACACUAGUUAGAUUUUUGUUUAAAUUCAAAAUACACACCAAUUCAUAUAUUGAUAUUUUCAACUUUUAUUGUUUCCUCGAAACUACCAUCAUUCAAUUCAAAAAUAUUUGAUGUAAAAGUUUCCCACCCAAUUUUAUAUUUGACAUAUAAAAAACGGACCCCAUUACAGCGGCACUUUUGUAUAAUUGGGGAACUUCGGAAUAUAGGAACU